rnacentral:SRP_RNA from 1 species
GCCAGGCACGGUGGCGCGUGCCUGUAAUCUCAGCUACGUGGGAGGCUGAGGUAGAAGAAUUGCUUGACCCCGGGGAGGCAGAGGUUGCAGUGAGCCAAGAUCAUGUCACUGCACUCCAGCCUGGGCAACAGAGCGAGACUCUGUCUCAA